GAUUAGCCAUGCAUGUCUAAGUAUAAGCAAUCUAUACGUGAAACUGCGAAUGGCUCAUUAAAUCAGUUAUCGUUUAUUUGAUAGUACCUUACUACAUGGAUAACCGUGGUAAUUCUAGAGCUAAUACAUGCUAAAAACCCCGACUUCGGAAGGGGUGUAUUUAUUAGAUAAAAAACCAGCGCCCUYCGGGGCUCCUUGGUGAUUCAUAAUAACUCAACGAAUCGCAUGGCCUUGCGCCGGCGAUGGUUCAUUCAAAUUUCUGCCCUAUCAACUUUCGAUGGUAGGAUAGUGGCCUACCAUGGUAUCAACGGGUAACGGGGAAUUAGGGUUCUAUUCCGGAGAGGGAGCCUGAGAAACGGCUACCACAUCCAAGGAAGGCAGCAGGCGCGCAAAUUACCCAAUCCCGACACGGGGAGGUAGUGACAAUAAAUACUGAUACAGGGCUCUUUCGGGUCUUGUAAUUGGAAUGAGUACAAUUUAAAUCCCUUAACGAGGAACAAUUGGAGGGCAAGUCUGGUGCCAGCAGCCGCGGUAAUUCCAGCUCCAAUAGCGUAUAUUAAAGUUGUUGCAGUUAAAAAGCUCGUAGUUGAACCUUGGGCCUGGCUGGCCGGUCCGCCUCACCGCGUGYACUGGUCCGGCCGGGCCUUUCCUUCUGGGGAKCCGCAUGCCCUUCRCUGGGCGUGCCGGGGAACCAGGACUUUUACUUUGAAAAAAUUAGAGUGUUCAAAGCAGGCCUUUGCUCGAAUACAUUAGCA
rnacentral:rRNA from 1 species